UAAAAAUGAAGUUAAACUUUCAUGCAAUUAACUAUUUAUAUAUUCCACUCCUAAAAUUUGAAAUUUAGAAAUGUAACUAGGAAAAACAAGAAUUUGAUGGAAUAUGCUUGCAGGUAUAGAGUUCUUAUCAGUGGUAUUCUAUGCUUUCUCUACUGCUUGAGAACAUUAGAUAGAUGAAGCUGUUCUCCCUUACAGUUUUGAUGCACAAAUUAUAAUCUCAGAAGAACAAUGAUAUUUUUGUUAUUGCAAAGUUAAAGAGUAUCAACUCGCUGAAAAACUUAAAGAUUGUCCUAGCAUCCGAUGGAGGUCUGGUAGCAAGGGUAGAUAUGGUUGCCGAUUGUUUAUGUAUUUUGACAGUUAAUUAUGGCUUAAAAGUUUUAAGCUAUAUUGAGUACAUAAUGAUACUGUACAUUGACUAGAGCUCAAGUGACUGAUUUUUAUGAAGCGGUUAAGCAAACGGCACAUGAUCUAGUGCUCUCACAUGAGGCACUGACUGAAUUGAGCAGCACAAGUCUGAGAAUCUGAAAGUGGUAGAGAGGAGAGAAGACAUGAAGCUAUGGAGUGUUCGGACUUAAUAUCUUCAUAUUUGAAUUGUAUCUCUGAGAUAUCUUUAACUCUACUGCCAGGAUGCUUACAACUUAGAGGUGGACUAAUUUAUUUAAUUUCCUUUGUCAAGUUGCUUCCCUGUUGUCUCAAUAUGUGCAUUUCAAUGACAACAUCUCUACAAAGACGUCUGAACCGUCAGUGGGGUUCAGUACUGUUACACUUAAGUUUCCCUAAUCAUAUGCAGAGCAACCUCACCAAAUCUUCUCAACUGAUCAAUGCCAGAGGAUUUGUGAAACAGGUGACCUUGUUAUUGCUCCUGAUAUGUUGACGUAGUUCUGGUUCCAUCCGCGGAGCACUACCUGAUCAUCGUAUAUAUAAUAAUUCAGCAAGUAUGAUACAUUCUACGCGGAAAUCUGAAUUCCUACAUCCACGAAUCAGGAAAACGUAUGGUCAAAACUUUAACUUGUGUUCCGUUGCUGUGAGGACCAUAUUGCGAGAAAGUACUUUCAUUUUUCCUCCUAAGUUUCAGUAAUCUUAUAUGUUUUCCAAACAAUGCAGCUGAUGUAUAUUGACAAAGUUAUCCAGUAAGAAGUAUCUGCUGUAGCAUAAGGUAAGACUGAACAUCAUAAACAAUAAUGCAAAGCCUCUUUUUGAUUAUAAACUUAAUUUAAAAGUCCAUUUCUGUUCAUUUUAAGCAAUCCUUGAGCACAAGUGGGUUAUUUCUAUUGUUUACCCCAGCUUGCUGCUCAUUUACAGUUAGACAUUGAGUCCCCAGAGCUUAAAAAAUACACCUCAGUUGACAGAAGCACUCCCCACCUGGACCACCACCACUUAUCUGAGCUGUUAAGAUUAUCCACUAAACUCCAGUGAGGAAAACCUACAUUAUUAGUACAGGUCUUUAAUGAAGAUGACAUAAUUGGAUUGUUUUGAUUGUACAGUUCUGUACUCUUCUAUAUUCUAAUUAUGAGACCUAAUUAUGAAACAUUAU